rnacentral:ncRNA from 1 species
AAAUCUCUGUGGUUUCCGAAGUCUUACGUUAUGCGUAAGCGGUUAAUGUAGGAACUACGGGAAUUU